rnacentral:rRNA from 1 species
UACGGAGGGGUUAGCGUUGUUCGGAAUUACUGGGCGUAAAGCGCACGUAGGCGGAUUGGAAAGUUGGGGUGAAAUCCCAGGGCUCAACCCUGGAACUGCCUCCAAAACUCCCAGUCUGGAGUUCGAGAGAGGUGAGUGGAAUUCCGAGUGUAGAGGUGAAAUUCGUAGAUAUUCGGAGGAACACCAGUGGCGAAGGCGGCUCACUGGCUCGAUACUGACGCUGAGGUGCGAAAGUGUGGGGAGCAAACAGG